rnacentral:rRNA from 1 species
AUUGAACGCUGGCGGCAGGCCUAACACAUGCAAGUCGAACGAGUGGCGGACGGGUGAGUAAUGACUGGGAAACUGCGCGAUGGAGGGGGAUAACUAGUGGAAACGGUAGCUAAUACCGCAUACCAUCGGAUGUGCCCAGAGGGGAUUAGCUUGUAGGUUGGGUAAUGGCUCACCUAGGCGACGAUCCCUAGCUGGUCUGCGAGGAUGACCAGCAACAUUGGAACUGAGACACGGUCCAGACUCCUACGGGAGGCAGCAGUGGGGAAUAUUGCACAAUGGGCGCAAGCCUGAUGCAGCCAUGCCGCGUGUAUGAAGAAGGCCUUCGGGUUGUAAAGUACUUUCAGCGAGGAGGCGUUACUCGCAGAAGAAGCACCGGCUAACUCCGUGCCAGCAGCCGCGGUAAUAC